rnacentral:lncRNA from 10 species
GUUCCUCAUCCCAGGGCCUCUGGGCCUCCCACUGCACUGUGUCAUCUGCCAUUUGGUGUUUUCUUGGAGAAGAAGCUCUGUCAUCUUCUUACAUGAGCAAAGUAAACAUCUAUGUCUCUCCCACAUUGUUGGUCAUGUUUUCUGUUACUUGCAGCUGAAUGCAUUCCUGUGCCAUCAAUCAUGUCCACUUUAGAGAUAAACAGGGCAUCGAAAAAGGGGAGGUCUUCCUUUGGAGCCAGCUUCUUGUUUCUUGGAACUGGAGAUUCAGGUGGAGGAGGAGAAAAGUCCCUCUGCCUGGGGGUUGAGCUGGGGAUGAGGAGUGGAGUUUCCGGCAGAGAAGUCUUGGGGUAAGGCCAAUACUCGCUCUUCCAUGACAGAGCCUGAGGAUCUUCCCUGGCCCCAGGUCCCAGGCCUUGGCUGCAUGAGGAGUCACAAGAUGCCUCUCCUGAACCAGGGAGUUCUCCCUAACACUGAUGGGCACUGGUGGGCAGGGAAGAAGACAGCAGUAGCCAUGGGUGGUGACUCAGAUCACAGACCUGGCUCCAGUCCCUGCUCUGCCACGAACUGCCUGUGUGUCCCAGUGCCCCAACCAACUCCCUUAGGGCAAGGACUCUGAGCCCUCAUCCGUGAAUAGGACUCUCUGUGUUCACAGGGAGCCUCCUGCCCCAGGUCCCCUGGCCUCUGAGCUUCUUCUCAGAAACGGGAAGGCUGAGACAUGUCUGGCUCCAGUAAAUUAACGACCUCAUCUCCACUGACUUAUUUGUCUGAAACAUGUUCAAAAAGCAAAGCAAAUAGAAAAGAGGAGAAGUCUUGGAGGAAGAAGGAAAGCAGACACAGGAAAUUAGGAUAAAUGUUUAAAGAUAAUGCCACUGAGGAAGAGGCGGGCUAAAGCUUGCUCCGUGCCAAGCAAUCUGGGUAGCAGACUGGGAUUGGAUCCCAGUAUUGUAUAAAGAAGAAGCAUUAAAAGCUUGCCACCAAUGCCAGCGAAGUUUGUGCCAUGAUUUCUGAUUUUCAUCUUUUCCAUCUAAUUGAUCUUUAGGUCCCCAAUCCACAAUGUCUCCAGUUAACAUAGAUUGUUUUCUAGCCAGUGGACCAAGACACUGGGUCCAUAGAUGGGGGUAGGAAAUACUGAAUGGAACCCAUUCCGUAUAAUCAGCACAAUUAGGGUGAUUGGGCCAGGAAUGGUUGGUUAGCACACCAGUUACGUUAAUAGAACCAAGACUUAACAGGUGCAUGACUUUUUCAUAGUGACUCAACCAUGUUUGAGCUUGAAUUUAAGACAGCUAUGGCUGAGCGAUGUCUUUGUGGUGAUACACAAAGGAAGUCCUUCCAGUGGAGCAGUAUAAUUAAUGACAUUAUUCUGAGAGUCUAACUGUUCUAUGUCAGGGGGAGUCAGGAGUCCUGGAGCCCACUCUCCCUGAUCAUGAUAAAGCUCAGGAGGAGUGUCACUCCAAAGAAUAGGUCAUACUACUGGGGGAUUGGGAACAUAUGCCCAAUAUGUUUUUGCCUCUGCACAGGGAAAACAUAUCACAUUGGACAUUAUGGCUAACAUGGCCAAGAACAUGGAAUCAGGGGUUCUGGCCUGUCCCUGAUGCUACAGUAGUUUCUCAGCUUCCUGCAUGGUUUUCUUGAGUUGUCCCCAGCUUAUGGGGGUUGAUGUCAUUGGGCUCUGGUCGGACUUCUCUCUGUCUUUGCACUCAGGCUCAGCUGGCUCACGGCUCGUACCGGAGGGACCGGGCCCAUGGUUGGCCACCCUGGGCUCCUCAAGUCUCCCGUUCCAUGGUCGCACACACCUUGAGGGCACCCACACGGC